rnacentral:lncRNA from 1 species
CGGAACGUCACCGUUUCGUGGCAUCUUAAUCAAAUUCUUCUUCGCCUUCACUUUCAAUUGUCUCUCCAAUAUCCUCACCAGAUCUGAAACCGGCACCGGCGACGUGUUUCCGAGGUUAAACACUCUCAAUUGCGCCGGACCUCUCUUCUUCCCUCCACUCCCUGUACUCUUCUCCGCCGUAUCUAGCGCCGCUAAACAUCCCUUCACUAUAUCGUCUAUGUAAGUGAAAUCCCUAGCCACCGUUCCGUGAUUCGCCGAUUCGAAUAUCGAAAUCGAUUUGCCUUUUAGAAUAUCUUUAGUGAAGAAGAAAUACGCCAUGUCUGGUCUUCCCCAAGGUCCAUACACGGUGAAAAAUCUUAAUCCGGUUAGAGAUAAUCCAUAGAUGUGGUUGUAGGUAUGUGCGAUCUCUUCGCCGGCUUUUUUAGUGGCGGCGUAUAAACUCGCCGGUUGAUCUGUUUUAUCUUUCUCCGAGAACGGAACUUUGGUGUUGAGUCCGUAGACGGAGCUAGACGAAGCCCAGACUAUAGCAGGUUGUGGAUUCACAGAUUUGCAGAUCUCGAGGAGAUUGACGAAUCCGGCGAUGUUGCUAUGAACGUACGAGCUAGGGUUUUCCAUUGCGUACCGUACACCAGCUUGAGCUGCUAAAUGCAUAACGUGUGUGAAGGAGACGAUCUUGAAUAGCUUACGGAGUAAUUCGACGUCGUUUAUGUCUCCUUCUACGAUGAAGAUCCCACUUCUCUCGAGUAAAGCUCGUCUUGCUCGUUUCAGAGAUGGAUCGUAGUAAUCGUUGAAGUUGUCGAGGCCGAUUACGCCGUCUCCGCGGCGUUUUAAUGCGGCGGAGACGUGUGUUCCGACGAAACCAGCUGCUCCGGUUACUAAAACUGUGAUUCCGUUGUUUGUUGAGGUUCGGAUUCGAGCUGAGGAUCUGAGACGUUUUUCCCAAGCUGGUCCUCCGUAGGUGUUGGUUCGGAGUGAACGGCGAGAUGGAUCGGACGGUGAAGAAGGGUUAAUGGACGGUGGAGAUCGGAGGAAGAGUAGAGAGAUGAGACAGAGGAGGAAGAAGGAGAAAAAUGCAAACUUUGUGAGAGAAGAUUGGAAUCUGAGACGAUGCAAGUAGGAAGAUUUCUCCAUCUUGAAUUUGCCUGGGCUUGAAGGGAAAAUAUGAAGAAGAAGAAGAAGAAGAAGAAGAAGAAGAAGAAGAAGAAGAAGAAGAAGAGAGUCAAAAAAAUUACUGUAAAAAUUUGUUGACUCUUCUAAAGAUUUGUUGUCGAGUCUUGAAAUUUGAUUGGUGAGAUACUAAUACUCCAAGAUUUUCGGGAAGCCACUCGUCCCAAAAGUUUUGAAUUUGAACCAAAGUUUUAAACUUUUGUUAAUAGAUUUGUUUUGCGGAUAGUUGCUAAAUACAAAAAU